rnacentral:rRNA from 1 species
GCCUAGGGGGCCGGCCUACCAUGCAAGUCGAGCGGUAGCACAGAGAGCUUGCUCUCGGGUGACGAGCGGCGGACGGGUGAGUAAUGUCUGGGAAACUGCCUGAUGGAGGGGGAUAACUACUGGAAACGGUAGCUAAUACCGCAUAAUGUCGCAAGACCAAAGUGGGGGACCUUCGGGCCUCAUGCCAUCAGAUGUGCCCAGAUGGGAUUAGCUAGUAGGUGGGGUAACGGCUCACCUAGGCGACGAUCCCUAGCUGGUCUGAGAGGAUGACCAGCCACACUGGAACUGAGACACGGUCCAGACUCCUACGGGAGGCAGCAGUGGGGAAUAUUGCACAAUGGGCGCAAGCCUGAUGCAGCCAUGCCGCGUGUGUGAAGAAGGCCUUCGGGUUGUAAAGCACUUUCAGCGGGGAGGAAGGCGAUAAGGUUAAUAACCUUGUCGAUUGACGUUACCCGCAGAAGAAGCACCGGCUAACUCCGUGCCAGCAGCCGCGGUAAUACGGAGGGUGCAAGCGUUAAUCGGAAUUACUGGGCGUAAAGCGCACGCAGGCGGUCUGUCAAGUCGGAUGUGAAAUCCCCGGGCUCAACCUGGGAACUGCAUUCGAAACUGGCAGGCUAGAGUCUUGUAGAGGGGGGUAGAAUUCCAGGUGUAGCGGUGAAAUGCGUAGAGAUCUGGAGGAAUACCGGUGGCGAAGGCGGCCCCCUGGACAAAGACUGACGCUCAGGUGCGAAAGCGUGGGGAGCAAACAGGAUUAGAUACCCUGGUAGUCCACGCCGUAAACGAUGUCGAUUUGGAGGUUGUGCCCUUGAGGCGUGGCUUCCGGAGCUAACGCGUUAAAUCGACCGCCUGGGGAGUACGGCCGCAAGGUUAAAACUCAAAUGAAUUGACGGGGGCCCGCACAAGCGGUGGAGCAUGUGGUUUAAUUCGAUGCAACGCGAAGAACCUUACCUGGUCUUGACAUCCACAGAACUUAGCAGAGAUGCUUUGGUGCCUUCGGGAACUGUGAGACAAGGUGCUGCAUGGCUGUCGUCAGCUCGUGUUGUGAAAUGUUGGGUUAAGUCCCGCACGAGCGCAACCCUUAUCCUUUUGUGGCCAGCCGGUCAGGCGGGAACUCAAGGAGUACUGCCAAGUGCAUCACCUGCAGGAAGGUGGGGAUGACGUCAGUCAAUCAUGGCCCUUACGGACCAAGGCUUACCACGUGCUAACAUUGCGUAUACCAAGAGAAGUCGGACCCUCUGCCGAGAGACGACCAACGCGCGUAGCACUAC